CAGCAGCCGCGGUAAUACGUAGGUGGCAAGCGUUAUCCGGAAUUAUUGGGCGUAAAGCGCGCGUAGGCGGUUUUUUAAGUCUGAUGUGAAAGCCCACGGCUCAACCGUGGAGGGUCAUUGGAAACUGGAAAACUUGAGUGCAGAAGAGGAAAGUGGAAUUCCAUGUGUAGCGGUGAAAUGCGCAGAGAUAUGGAGGAACACCAGUGGCGAAGGCGACUCUCUGGUCUGUAACUGACGCUGAUGUGCAAAAGCGUGGGGAUCAAACAGGAUUAGAUACCCGCGUAGUCCCUGUCUCUUAUAC
rnacentral:rRNA from 1 species